GCUCGGGUGGUGGAAUGGUAGACACGCCAGACUUAGGAUCUGGUGCCGCGAGGCAUGAGGGUUCGAGUCCCUCUUCGAGCACCA
rnacentral:tRNA from 1 species